GAUAGCGUGGCUCAGUGGAAAGAGCCCGGCUGGGGAGUCAGAGGUCAUGGGUUAGAAUCCCAGCUCUGUCA
rnacentral:tRNA from 1 species